rnacentral:rRNA from 1 species
AUACGGAGGGGGCUAGCGUUGUUCGGAAUUACUGGGCGUAAAGCGCACGUAGGCGGCACACACAGUCAGAGGUGAAAGGCCUGGGCUCAACCCAGGAACUGCCUUUGAUACUGGUGAGCUAGAGUCCGGGAGAGGGUAGCGGAAUUCCCAGUGUAGAGGUGAAAUUCGUAGAUAUUGGGAAGAACACCGGUUGCGAAGGCGGCUACCUGGACCGGUACUGACGCUGAGGUGCGAAAGCGUGGGGAGCAAACAGGAUUAGAAACCCCAGUAGUCC